UACGAAGGGGGCUAGCGUUGUUCGGAAUUACUGGGCGUAAAGCGCGCGCAGGCGGUUCGAUAAGUUGGGGGUGAAAUCCCCGGGCUCAACCCGGGAAUUGCCUUCAAGACUGUCGAGCUAGAGGACGAGAGAGGUGAGUGGAAUUCCCAGUGUAGAGGUGAAAUUCGUAGAUAUUCGGAAGAACACCAGUGGCGAAGGCGGCUCACUGGCCCGGUACUGACGCUGAGAUACGAAAGCGUGGGGAGCAAACAGG
rnacentral:rRNA from 1 species